GAAUAUUGGACAAUGGGCGAAAGCCUGAUCCAGCCAUGCCGCGUGUGUGAAGAAGGUCUUCGGAUUGUAAAGACCUUUAAGUUGGGAGGAAGGGCAGUAAGCGAAUACCUUGCUGUUUUGAGGUUGCCGCCAGAAUAAGCACCGGCUACCUCUGCGCCAGCCGCCGCGGUAAUACAGAGGGUGCAAGCGGUAAUCGGGAUUAAUGGGCGUAAAGCGCGCGUAGGUGGUUCGUUAAGUUGGAUGUGAAAUCCCCGGGCUCAACCUGGGAACUGCAUCCAAAACUGGCGAGCUAGAGUAGGGCAGAGGGUGGUGGAAUUUCCUGUGUAGCGGUGAAAUGCGUAGAUAUAGGAAGGAACACCAGUGGCGAAGGCGACCACCUGGGCUCAUACUGACACUGAGGUGCGAAAGCGUGGGGAGCAAACAG
rnacentral:rRNA from 1 species